AGUUAUGCCAUUUUUUUCAGGAGGGACUACACAUACUGUUUUUUAGAAGAAAUGAAAACCUUUUCUACCUCCAGCUACAGGCUGCGCUUUGAAAUAAAAUCAUCCAUUUUGAAACAAGAAAGCGAAUAUGCCAGCCAGAAUCAGAACGAGGGAGGAGGCGAUAGAGAGCUGACGUGAGGAAAUGUUCGGGAGAGUGACAGAGCAAAUGGACAAAGAAUUGAACGUACACAUCCUAUGGCAAAAACAAAGAAAGAG